UGGGGAAUUUUGGACAAUGGGCGAAAGCCUGAUCCAGCAAUGCCGCGUGUGUGAAGAAGGCCUUCGGGUUGUAAAGCACUUUUGUCCGGAAAGAAAUCCUUGGCUCUAAUACAGUCGGGGGAUGACGGUACCGGAAGAAUAAGCACCGGCUAACUACGUGCCAGCAGCCGCGGUAAUACGUAGGGUGCAAGCGUUAAUCGGAAUUACUGGGCGUAAAGCGUGCGCAGGCGGUUUGCUAAGACCGAUGUGAAAUCCCCGGGCUCAACCUGGGAACUGCAUUGGUGACUGGCAGGCUAGAGUAUGGCAGAGGGGGGUAGAAUUCCACGUGUAGCAGUGAAAUGCGUAGAGAUGUGGAGGAAUACCGAUGGCGAAGGCAGCCCCCUGGGCCAAUACUGACGCUCAUGCACGAAAGCGUGGGGAGCAAACAGGAUUAGAUACCCUGGUAGUCCACGCCCUAAACGAUGUCAACUGUUGUUGGGGAUUCAUUCCUUAGUAACGUAGCUAACGCGUGAAGUUGACCGCCUGGGGAGUA
rnacentral:rRNA from 1 species